rnacentral:rRNA from 1 species
UACAGAGGCCUCAAGCGUUGUUCGGAUUCAUUGGGCGUAAAGGGUGCGCAGGCGGCGUGGAAAGUUGAGUGUGAAAUCCCGGGGCUUAACCUCGGAACUGCACUCAAUACUACCAUGCUAGAGGAAUGUAGAGGAGAGUGGAAUUCACGGUGUAGCAGUGAAAUGCGUAGAUAUCGUGAGGAAGACCAGUUGCGAAGGCGACUCUCUGGGCAUUUCCUGACGCUCAUGCACGAAGGCCAGGGGAGCAAACGGG